CCGGCCCCCCAGGCCGCCCGGCAGCAGGGCAGCAGGCCCCGACCGCCCGGCAGCGGGGCGACCGCCUCCCCCGGCCCUAUAUAAGGGGUUGGCUGCCCCCACCCCCUCAUUUGGCUCACUAAAAAUCCAGAAAAAAAGAAAAGAGAGGGAGGGAGGGAGAGGAGGGGUGAGGGAGAGGCAAAGCGGCGAAGCACUGUCGGAUUUUCAAGCCGGCGACUGCAGGUAACUAAAAUUUUCUACACUUUACAAAUAGAUUAUGUUGUAAUUAUUUUUGUUGACACAGUAGAUUAGCAAUCAGUUACUAUAGUGAGUAAGGUCAAAACCAGAUUUCUAGUUUAGGUGUAGUUACUUGUAGUGAUUAGCGUUGACACAGUAGAUUAGCAAUCAUUUUAAUUAAUGUUAGUAGUGAUUAGUGUUAGAUUAAGGAUUUAGAUUCGGUUAUGUAUGGAUAUGUAUUUGAACCAGAUGGUAGCAUGUAACAAUAUAAUUUUAUUAUGUAUGUAUGUGUAGUUGAACCAGAUGGUAGCAUGUAACAAUAUAAUUUCGUUAUGUAUGGACAUAUAGUGUUGUACGAUGGUACUAUUUAAUUUAGAUGUGUGUGAUUGUAUUGCAUUGUUUUGAUCUUACAUGGUAAGUAUGGCCGGGGUUACUCCUGCGUUGCUGGACCCAACAAUAGACUCGGGUCACCGGUCCUUUCUUGCUAUGGUUCAACACCAACAACUCAACGUGCUGCGUCCACGUCCACUUGCAGAGUUGGUUCCUGUAGACUCACGAUGGGUGCCCUGGCUGAGCAAGGCAGGUCUUCUUACUUUAGGACCUUGAGCAACGUUUUGCAGGUGUUGCCACCACGAUUGAUACUGAAGACUUCAAUGAGCACCCACAGUCGAAAGGCCCUUCGAAGUCAUGGCUCCUACAGUUCUAGCCGGACCUGUUGGCAGCCGAUGCUGAUGACUACAGCGUGAUUAGAUCACUCGAGGCAUACCUGUUGUGGUUGUUUGGGUACAUCAUGUUCAACAACUCACACGGCCACUGUGUGGAUAGGGUGCUUGUGCCCUACGCACAGGAGAUCGCCGAUGCAGAUGAGGAUGCCAUACCCUUAUAUAGUUGGGGUUCAGCGGUUCUUGCAUGCACAUAUCGUGAACUCUGCAAGACAUCACGGCAGAAUGAUCGCAAUGCUUUCCUAACGGGGUGCCCAAUUCUACUACAACUUUGGUCUUACGAUCAUAGUUUGUAAAGGGCUGGACAUCCUUUCUCCACCAUGUGGGUCACUAGGUUACAACCGUGGGUGGCUACGUGGGAUAAUGCAAACGAGCAGUUGGUUGAGGACACCGGUCCACACACUGAGGCUUCGUUUAGGGCGUACCUGACUUGGUACGAACCUAAGACUCGUUGCCGCUUGACGUAUGCUGACAUGCAUCCACAGCCGCAUGUUGUGACUUCGCAGGAUGGCUAUGUACGACACAGGGAUGAGGUACUAGCUGGGGCGUUCGAAAUGUGUAGGUUGCUUGAAUUAGAUUGCUCACUGAAUGUAAUGAGGAUUCAUGGCGGGUUUACGAUGAGCAUGCCGGUGCAACUCGAGGCCUGGACCACUCAACGUGAUAGAGCCCGAGGCAUCCUUCAGGCCUUUGGUACGCGGACGGUGUAUGAGGAUUCCUACAGAUCGUCGCAAGCGUCCACGUCGGUUCCUUGUGGUGCCGCAGUGCAGCAGCCUCCCCCAUACCACCCACAGUACGAAGAUAUGGUGUGAUAUUUACCAAUCCGUAUAUUUGUAGGCAAUAUUUAAGUACGACUCCACACAGGGUACGGGUACCCCGGUUCUCAGCCCUAUGGAGGGUCAGGUGCCUCGCAAGGGGCUCCGUUUCAAGGAACCCAGUUUACCUCUAUGACACCAGCUGCAGGGAAUUUAGGAUCACAACAGUUCACCGGAGCGGGGCCUUCUUCGUAUCACCCUAUGCCGCCACCAGGAGGAUAUCAAGGAGUUUAUUCCUAUCCACCACCACCACCACCUCCAACACAGGGGUGGUCUCAAGACAACGACGAGGCCUCCUUCGAUGACUUUACACGGUUGUUUGCUACACCUACCCAGGACGAUGAUCCCAGCUUGCAUACACCUCUGGCUCUAUUACGCCGUCCUGCCAGAGACGUGAGGCCACCGGACCGUCAUAGCUACCCUACAGAUCACGUACAUGCACAACGUAAGAGAGGUCGGCACGGUAGGGGUGGUUAGUUGUUGCCACUUGUUUCUCUAUUGUUAUUAUGGACCUGUCGUCUUGGUUUUCAUAUUUUGUACUCAAACUUGGUUUAUGCUACCUUGCAAUGCAAGCACACUUUUGCAGUA